GUAAAUUUUUCAUUUGCAGUAUAAAGUUGAUCUGAGAAAAAAUGUUUACCUUGGCUCUUCACUUGGCUUCUGUGAAAGAAACUUAAUAAAAUAAUAUGGGCAAUUCCCAUUACUAAUCCUAACCAUGUACAACAGAGGUCUGUACAGUAACAUAGCAAAAAUAAGUUCCUGUAAUUUUACUUAGUCAUUGCCUGUUUUAGACUAAGGAGCAGUGAGAGACAUUUAUAAAUAAUGAUACCUCAGAUCACUUUUGUUAAAUGUCCUCUAAUAUUUGGAUAUUUGGAUCUGGCUUGUGUUAUCUUUUUUUACAAUCUUGUCUUCUUUCUUUGCACUUUAGUGUAACAACUCUGUGAUUUCCUAUCUUCUUCUUCAGACACUCAGGUCCAUCAGAAUUUCCUGUGACUGUGACAGUAGAGAGUCCUUCCUCCUCAGAAAUCGAAGAGGUCGAUGAUUCCUCAGAAAGUGUUCAGGAAGAGCCAGAGAAAAUCCGUUUGAAACAAGAAGCACUGCAGCCCUUCAUGUCCACAAGCAUGAUCCUGGAUGAUGAAGGUGUUUUGGGCAGCAUUGAGAAUUCUUUUCAGAAGUUCCAUGCUUUCUUGGAUCUCCUUAAAGAUGCUGGGCUUGGGCAGCUGGCCACAAUGGCUGGUAUAGAUCAGUCAGAUUUUCAUUUACUAGGUCGUCCCCAGAUGAAUUCUACUGUUAGUAGUCCACCUAAAGAAGAAAAGAAGGCACUUGAAGAAGAAAAAUCAGAGUCAAAGCAGAGUGCCCCAGGACCAACGCACAAU